AGUCCAGUCUGGGUAAAGGAAUAAUCCCAGCUUAAGCAGGUAGGCGGAGAGGGCAGGCAAAUCCACUCUCUCAUUAACGCCGAGACGUGAUGAUACCCCUGGGGGCAACCCUAAGGGGAUACGUGAUGAUCCCAAACUUCCGAGAAAAGCCUCUAAGUCCGGAGAAGUGUGUCCGUACCGGAAACCGACUCAGGUGGGUGAGUAGAGAAUACUAAGGCGCUUGAGAGAACCGUAGCUAAGGAACUAGGCAAAUUACUACCGUAACUUCGGGAUAAGGUAGGCCUUCUGUAGGUGGACGGCUUCGCGCCGAAAGCUGAAGAGGGUUGCAGAGAGCAGGGGGUAGCGACUGUUUAUCAAAAACACAGGACUAUGCGAAAUCGUAAGAUGAUGUAUAUGGUCUGACGCCUGCCCGGUGCUGGAAGGUUAAGGGAAUCCGUUAAUUCGCAAGAGUGAAGCGUUGAACCGAAGCCCCAGUGAACGGCGGCCGUAACUAUAACGGUCCUAAGGUAGCGAAAUUCCUUGUCGGGUAAGUUCCGACCUGCACGAAUGGCGUAACGACUUCCCCACUGUCUCGGCUACGGACUCAGUGAAAUUGAAUUCCCGGUGAAGAUGCCGGGUACCCGCGGCAAGACGGAAAGACCCCGUGCACCUUUACUAUCUCUUUACGUUGAGCCUGGGAAUUGCAUGUGUAGGAUAGGUGGGAGACUUUGAAGCUGUGACGCUAGUCAUGGUGGAGUCACCCUUGAAAUACCACCCUUGUGAUUUCUAGGUUCUAACCGAGUCCAGUGAAUCCUGGACCGGGACCACGUAUGGUGGGUAGUUUGACUGGGGCGGUCGCCUCCCAAAGAGUAACGGAGGCGCGCGAUGGUGGGCUCAGGCUGGUUGGAAAUCAGCCGUCGAGUGUAAAGGCAUAAGCCCGCUUGACUGCGAGACCGACAGGUCGAGCAGGUACGAAAGUAGGCCUUAGUGAUCCGGUGGUUCUUCAUGGAAGGGCCAUCGCUCAACGGAUAAAAGGUACGCCGGGGAUAACAGGCUUAUCUCUCCCAAGAGUUCACAUCGACGGGGAGGUUUGGCACCUCGAUGUCGGCUCGUCACAUCCUGGGGCUGAAGUGGGUCCCAAGGGUUCGGCUGUUCGCCGAUGAAAGUGGCACGCGAGCUGGGUUCAGAACGUCGCGAGACAGUUCGGUCCCUAUCUGCCGUGGGCGAAGGAAAAUUGAGGGAACCUGCUCUUAGUACGAGAGGACCGGAGCGGACAUGCCUCUAGUGAACCAGUUGUCCUGCCAAGGGCACCGCUGGGUAGCCACGCAUGGACGGGAUAACCGCUGAAAGCAUCUAAGCGGGAAGCCCAUCCCAAGACUAGUUUUCCCUUCGACUUUAGUCGACUAAAGGUCUGUCGUAGACUACGACGUUGAUAGGUUGGGCGUGGAAGCGGGGGCAACCCGUGAAGCUUACCAAUACUAAU
rnacentral:rRNA from 1 species